CCAACAACAGAGGUAUUAGUUAUCUUGUUGGAUGCGUACAUGCUAUCAGUGAUAAUUAAACCCUUGGCCAGCAUUCUUCUGUACUUGGUGAACUCAAGGGUAGUUUCAUGCCGAGAUGACUGGAAGACUGCGGUGCAUGCAGGAAAC
rnacentral:lncRNA from 1 species